CAAUUGCUGGUAAACUAUAUAGGGGGGAGGAGGGCAGGGGAAGUCUCAUUGGCCAGUCAGCAGUCUCUGGGGAUGCAAGGGACCAGUGUCGUGGCGGUUUCUAAGGUGGCCAGGCCAACACAGCUGCCUCCUUGGCUCUUCAGCUGUGGGCUCCUCAUAUGGACACUUUCAAAUCUCCCGUCCCUCUUCCCUCAGUCCCAGAGCCUCAUGCAUACGGCCCACCUCCUGUCUAUCCCCCUGUGCUCAGCCCCCCUCCCCCCUCCCCCUGCAGGUCCCUGUGCCCAGUGCCUCUGGCCUACGGGUCCUGAUCACCAUCUGGGCCAUCAACCACCUAAGGCCCACAGGCCAGUGAUGGGCAACCAGGGACCACCCUGACCCGCCAGCUCAGACGAGGCACAGGGCGCCCGGGAAUUGGAACCGCUUCCAGCCAGGCCACUGGAGCCCUGUGGUCUCUGAAACUAGCUGUACCGGAUCCUGACAUUGUACUGUACCCGCUGGGGGCCGUCCUAUAGUGACCUGAGCCCGGACUUCCCUGCCCCACCUGAGGGUGAGAGGUCCUACACAGCAGGAGCCCCAGCCGGAGUGCGGGCUGCCGGAGGGAGGAGGAGGGGCGCGCCUGCGCCGACACACAGACGCGCGGACGCGGGAGCCAACCCAGAGGUUGUGGAAGCCGAGUGGGAGCUGGAUUCUCCUGGGCCAGCUCCCGAAGAAGGCGGCCUGGGGAAUGGGCUGCCGCUUGACGUCGCCUCCGCCUCCGCCGCCGCCGCCGGGCAGGUAAGGGGGCGCUGGUGGAGGCGUGCAGGUCGCGGAGCGGCGGCGGGUGAGGCCUGGGCUGCGCAGUUGGGCGUGGGUGAGGCCCAGGCCGCGGCGCCUUUCAGGACCCUGAGGCGGGCGGCCCCCCUCCUUAGUAGUCCCUGAACCCCGCGUCUGCGCUGGUUUUUGUAUUUGGGUUUGGGAAAGCAGGGCACCCCCGGGAGGGGGAAAGCUGCCGGACGGCCCCGGAACACCUCGGACCGGCCCUUAGGUCAUGGUCUGUUCCCGGGAGGCGGGUGCUGUGCGGUGCGGUCGCGGGGCCUCAGCGGCGGCCGCGAUGGUACAGACUGACCCGUGCGAGUCCCUGAAUUUGCUCCCUAUUCCCCCACUGCUUGGGGCGGCCUUUGCUUGCCCAUGUACGCGGGGUGCACGUUCACCGGUCAGCCUGCUCCUGGGAGGCCGACGCGUUGCUGUCAGGGUGCGGGGGUGGCGGCAGCAUUAGCGGCAGCAGCGGGGAGAGGGGUGUGCUCCUGGGAGUCUGUCGAUUUGCUCCCAUCUCCCCCGCGUCCUGUCCUGGGGGCGGACUCUGCUGCCCCAGGUUCGCAGGACGCACGUUACAGGUCAGUCAGCUUCUGGGAGGCGGGCGCGGUGCGGUAGUGUGCAGGGGUGACGGCAGCG